AUACGUAGGUGACAAGCGUUAUCCGGAUUUACUGGGCGUAAAGGGCGUGUAGGCGGUCUUGCAAGUCAGAAGUGAAAUUCCUGAGCUCAACUCGGGCGCUGCUUCUGAAACUGCAGGACUUGAGUGCUGGAGGGGAUAGCGGAAUUCCUAGUGGAGCGGUAAAAUGCGCAGAUAUUAGGAAGAACACCGGUGGCGAAGGCGGCUAUCUGGACAGUAACUGACGCUGAGGCGCGAAAGCGUGGGGGGCAAACAGGAUUAGCUUCCCUGGAAGUCCACGCCGUAAACGAUGAAUACUAGGUGUAGGGGGUAUCGACUCCCUCUGUGCCGCAGUUAACACAAUAAGUAUUCCGCCUGGGGAGUACGGCCGCAAGGUUGAAACUCAAAUGAAUUGACGGGG
rnacentral:rRNA from 1 species